AUGAGAGAAGAUAAGGUAUUGCUCCUGCAAGCAGAACUUCCUGUCUUCAAAAUGGUAAAUGAGAUUAAUGCACCUCAGGCUGAGUGUGCCACCUGGGAAUCUCUUGGAAGGACACAGCCUUGGUGCAAGGGACUGACAUAAAGCAGGUAACUGAAUUUUUUGUAGUGGUACUUGGUACGUGUGAGAGUUACAGGUAUCAGACUUGAAAACUGACUGCCAGUGUCCUGAGGAGUAGGCCAAACUCGGGAAUACUCACUUAUGGCAGUAGCAGGGAAUCAGAAACUCACUCCUCUAAUACAUUACUUACACCUUCACUUCAGCAAAGCAGUGAUAAAUUAGCUGCAGAUUUCAAUUAAAAUGUGUAGAUCACACCUUCACUUCAGCAAAGCAGUGAUAAAUUAGCUGCAGAUUUCAAAUAAAAGUAGAUCACACUUAGAAGAAAAACCUGUGCAAGCUUCAGGAAUAUGCUGUAUUAAAUAAAAAAAAUAAUGAAUUGCUGCCAUCAGGAAUAAGAAAGGAAAAGAGGAGAUACUGUCUCAGUCAUCCCCCACAUUUCUACCCGACACACUACAUCACUAAGUUUCUCCACAUUCAAAAUACAAAUUCUAAUUUCUGUGAGAAAAAAAAUUAGAAUCUAUGUUUAGUCUGGUGAUGAUAUGGAGAGAGCCAGGAGACAUUUUACAUACUUGUUUUUAGCAGUGGGAAUCCACAGUGGAACACAGUCAACUCGUAUUGCUUUAAUUUAAAACGUAGGGUUAACAAUUGUUAGUAUUUAGAGAAGAAAAACAAUGUACACGUGGCUCAGAAAAUGCAACCCAUGAGAGAGAUGAAGAAUCUGAGAACGCAGAACUUUAAUUCUCCUUAUAUGCGAAAAAGGUACUUAUAAAAAGAUGAUUAUUUAUUGUCCAAUGUAUUCACAAGAAGGAGGACUGGAAGAAGUACAAGAAAUAUUAAUUAAAUACUACAUUGAAAAGAAUUUAAAUAUAUAUAGUGGUAAUUCUGUCAAGCAGUAGACUCACUAAGAAAGCUGUAAAACCUUCUUUACCAAAGGUUUUCAGUAAAUUUAAAUGUGCUUGUCAUGUACUAUUCAUGACAAAAAAACUGACAAGAGUAACAGGUCAUCAUGAAUUAUAAAACUGACAAGAGUAACAGGUUAUCAUGAAUUAUCUUUUCAGGCAUAUUCCACUUUUCCUACAUAUUUGUAAUUCUUGUAUGAUCCUAAACUGUUGUGAGACAAAAAUCUCUAGUCAUUUGCAAUCUUUGUAAAAUCAAUACAAACUGGGAAACUAGUAUUGUGUCUGACAGGUCCACUCCUGUUAUUAGCAAUAGUAAUAUGACAUUUUUAGGAAAAGGGAUCUGAACCAGGUAUAUAGAAAAGUUAUUAAUAAUGAAGAAAAAUCUGUCCCUGUUCUUGAUGGGGUUCUUUCAGUUGUAAACACAUACUUAGCACACUUUCUCUAUGCCCUUGUACAAAAACAAGCAUGUAAAUAAUUCUCUCUUCUUUUCUUAGCUAUCAGUUCAUCAAUAAUAUUGAGCAAUAUCCAAUCUUGGAAACUCUACUAACAAUUCCUGAAAAUUUUUUCACAGUACUGAAACCAGUCACUAGAAAAAGUAAAUAGCAGUUCCUAAACACAUAAGAACCCAAAUGCUUCAGCUUUGUCACGCCACAACUGAAGCAUUCUUCUUUCAAAUAGAGUUAUUUAAAUUCAGUUAGAAAUACAAUUUUAUUACGUAAUCUUAAUUUAAAAUGAAGCAAAUUUGAUUCAUUUUGAGCAAAUUCCAAAAAUAUUUAACAGGGGGUUUUCCUGUGAACUGCUUCAUUAUGCAUUAUAUUUCUAAAGAUAUAAUCACCUUACUGUGAUUGUUUUCAUAAAUGUAUUUUAUUCCUAUUUUAGCAGACUUUUAUAUCAACAUGUUAAUAACUGUUUGAGAUUAUAUUUAAGCAAUAAAAUUCUGUGUGUGAUCUCUGCAUUCUAAAGAAAUCCACCAAAUCUCUAAGAUCUUCUAUACUAUUAAUGUGUUCAUUCAGAUAAGAGUUUGGGUUUUUUUGGCUGUGACUGCUGAAACUUGUUUUAAGUUGCAGUUCUCAUUUUCUUACAAAUUAAUUUCAUUUUCCUUGAAACAUUUGAAACAGCUAUUUAAUCGCAUACAAUGUCAGAACAUGUGUCCUGGGCUGCUCAAUUAAAUCAUAGUUAUUAUUAUUACAUGAUGUUAUUAUAUCUGCACUAACAAGGUAUUUGGCUGUAGGUAUAAGUGUUCAGGCACAUUCAGUUUUGCUUUUAAAUAUAUAUGAUUAAGAAACUGUGAGUAGAUAACAGCUGGCAAACGAUCUUUACAGAAAUGGCCAAGAGCUUUCAUAAAAAAGAAGUCCAAAUACAUUGUCAACAGAGAUACUACACACUGAUCUAUGCAGUAUUUUAAUCAGAAUAAGCUUUCAUAA
rnacentral:lncRNA from 1 species